rnacentral:tRNA from 1 species
GCGGGCGUAGUUCAGUUGGUUAGAACGCCGGCCUGUCACGCCGGAGGUCGCCGGUUCGAGUCCGGUCGCUCGCGCUA